GUUUGAUCCUGGCUCAGAAUCAACGCUGGCGGCGUGCCUCAGACAUGCAAGUCGAACGAUUAAAGCUCUCUUCGGAGAGUGUAUAGAGUGGCGCACGGGUGAGUAACACGUAAGUAAUCUACCCUCGAGUGGAGAAUAACAACCGGAAACGGUUGCUAAUACCGCAUAAUGCAGCGGCACCGCAAGGUGACAGUUGUUAAAGAUUUAUCGCUUGAGGAGGAGCUUGCGGCAGAUUAGCUAGUUGGUAGGGUAACGGCUUACCAAGGCUACGAUCUGUAACCGGUCUAAGAGGACGGUCGGUCACACUGACACUGAAUAACGGGUCAGACUCCUACGGGAGGCAGCAGUCGGGAAUUUUGGGCAAUGGGCGAAAGCCUGACCCAGCAACGCCGCGUGAAGGAUGAAGUAUUUCGGUAUGUAAACUUCGAAAGAAUAGGAAGAAUUAAUGACGGUACUAUUUAUAAGGUCCGGCUAACUACGUG
rnacentral:rRNA from 1 species